rnacentral:rRNA from 1 species
CCUACGGGAGACAGCAGUGGGGAAUAUUGCACAAUGGGGGAAACCCUGAUGCAGCGACGCCGCGUGAGUGAAGAAGUAAUUCGUUAUGUAAAGCUCUAUCAGCAGGGAAGAAAAUGACGGUACCUGAGUAAGAAGCCCCGGCUAACUACGUGCCAGCAGCCGCGGUAAUACGUAGGGGGCAAGCGUUAUCCGGAUUUACUGGGUGGAAAGGGAGCGUAGACGGCAGUGCAAGUCUGGAGUGAAAGGCGGGGGCUCAACCCCCGGACUGCUCUGGAAACUGUACGGCUGGAGUGCAGGAGAGGUAAGUGGAAUUCCUAGUGUAGCGGUGAAAUGCGUAGAUAUUAGGAGGAACACCAGUGGCGAAGGCGGCUUACUGGACUGUAACUGACGUUGAGGCUCGAAAGCGUGGGGAGCAAACAGGAUUAGAUACCCCAGUAGUC